ACUGAACGCUGGCGGCAGGCCUAACACAUGCAAGUCGAACGAGUGGCGGACGGGUGAGUAAUGUCUGGGAAACUGCCUGAUGGAGGGGGAUAACUACUGGAAACGGUAGCUAAUACCGCAUACCAUCAGAUGUGCCCAGAUGGGAGUAGCUAGUCGGUGGGGUAAUGGCUCACCUAGUCGACGAUGCCUAGCUGGUCUGAGAGGAUGACCAGCCACACUGGAACGGAGACACGGUCCAGACUCCUACGGGAGGCAGCAGUGGGGAAUAUUGCACAAUGGGCGCAAGCCUGAUGCAGCCAUGCCGCGUGUAUGAAGAAGGCCUUAGGGUUGUAAAGUACUUUCAGCGGGGAGGCGUUACUCGCAGAAGAAGCACCGGCUAACUCCGUGCCAGCAGCCGCGGUAAUUC
rnacentral:rRNA from 1 species